rnacentral:rRNA from 1 species
GACGAACGCUGCGGCGUGCCUAAUACAUGCAAGUAGAACGCACAGGAUGCACCGUAGUUUACUACACCGUAUUCUGUGAGUUGCGAACGGGUGAGUAACGCGUAGGUAACCUGCCUGGUAGCGGGGGAUAACUAUUGGAAACGAUAGCUAAUACCGCAUAAGAACAUUUACUGCAUGGUAGAUGUUUAAAAGGUGCAAAUGCAUCACUACCAGAUGGACCUGCGUUGUAUUAGCUAGUAGGUGAGGUAACGGCUCACCUAGGCGACGAUACAUAGCCGACCUGAGAGGGUGAUCGGCCACACUGGGACUGAGACACGGCCCAGACUCCUACGGGAGGCAGCAGUAGGGAAUCUUCGGCAAUGGGGGGAACCCUGACCGAGCAACGCCGCGUGAGUGAAGAAGGUUUUCGGAUCGUAAAGCUCUGUUGUUAAGGAAGAACGAGUGUAGAAUGGAAAGUUCAUACUGUGACGGUACU